rnacentral:rRNA from 1 species
AGUCACUGACAUUAGAUACCCCCGUAGUCCCAGCCGUAAACAAUGUGCGUUAGGUAUGUCGGUAACCACGUGUUACUGAUGUGCCGAAGAGAAAUCGUGAAACGCACCACCUGGGAAGUACGGUCGCAAGGCUGAAACUUAAAGGAAUUGCGGGGAGCACCACAACAGGUGGAGCCUGCGGUUUAAUUGGAUUCAACGCCGGACAUCUCACCGGAUAAGACAGCUGAAUGAUUGUCAAUCUGAAGGUUUUACAUGACUAGCUG